rnacentral:rRNA from 1 species
UACGAGGGGGGCGAGCGUUGUUCGGAAUUACUGGGCGUAAAGCGUACGUAGACGGUUGUGUAAGUCGGAUGUGAAAGCCCCGGGCUCAACCUGGGAAUUGCAUUCGAGACUGCGCAGCUAGGGUGCGGAAGAGGGAAGCGGAAUUCCCAGUGUAGCGGUGAAAUGCGUAGAUAUUGGGAGGAACACCAGUGGCGAAAGCGGCUUCCUGGUCCAGCACCGACGUUCAGGUACGAAAGCAUGGGGAGCAAACAGG